rnacentral:rRNA from 1 species
GAUUAGAGUUUGAUCAUGGCUCAGAUUGAACGCUGGCGGCAUGGCUAAAACAUGCAAGUCGAGCGCGAAAGAGGAGCAAUCCUCGAGUAGAGCGGCGAAAGGGUGAGUAAUACGUUCCUACGUACCUCGAGGUCAGAGAUAGCCAGGGGAAACUCUGGGUAAUACCUGAUGUGGUCGAGAGAUCAAAGGCUUGCCGCCUUGAGAGCGGGGAACGUCCUAUCAGCUAGUUGGUGAGGUAACGGCUCACCAAGGCUUUGACGGGUAGCGGGUGUGAGAGCAUGGCCCGCCACAUCGGAACUGAGACACUGUCCGGACUCCUACGGGAGGCUGCAGUAACGAAUCUUCCGCAAUGCGCGCAAGCGUGGCGGAGCAAUGCCGCGUGCAGGAUGAAGCCCUUCGGGGUGUAAACUGCUGUCAGGGUUUAGAAACACAAUGAUCAAACCCAAAGGAAGAGACGACUAACUCUGUGCCAGCAGUCGCGGUAAUACAGAGGUCUCGAGCGUUAGUCGGAAUCACUGGGCUUAAAGCGUACGUAGGCGGAUGUGCAGGCGUCGUGUGAAAGCCCUCGGCUCAACCGAGGAAUUGCACGGCGAACCGCACGUCUUGAGACAAGUAGGGGCGGUCGGAACGAUAGGUGGAGUGGUGAAAUGCGUUGAUAUCUAUCGGAACGCCGAAGGUGAAGACAGGCCGCUGGGCUUGUUCUGACGCUGAGGUACGAAAGCGUGGGGAGCGAACGGGAUUAGAUACCCCGGUAGUCCACGCCGUAAACGAUGUGCACUAGAUCGUGGAGGUUCUGACACCCCCCACGGUCGAAGUAAAAACGUUGAGUGCACCGCCUGGGGAGUACGGUCGCAAGGCUAAAACUCAAAGGAAUUGACGGGGGCUCACACAAGCGGUGGAGCAUGUGGCUUAAUUCGAAGCAACGCGAAGAACCUUAUCCUAGGCUUGACAUGUAUGGAUUAGUUCGGUGAAAGCCGAACGACACUCUUGUAGUGGAACAUACACAGGUGCUGCAUGGCUGUCGUCAGCUCGUGCUGUGAAGUGUCGGGUUAAGUCCCUUAACGAGCGAAACCCCUAUCAUUAGUUGCGAACAGGUAAAGCUGCGGACUCUAAUGAGACUGCCGGUGUUAAACCGGAGGAAGGUGGGGAUGACGUCAAGUCCUCAUGGCCUUUAUGCCUAGGGCUGCACACGUGCUACAAUGGCGCGAACAGAACGAUGCAAGACCGCAAGGUGGAGCAAAUCGCUCAAAUCGCGCCCCAGUUCGGAUUGAGGGCUGCAAUUCGCCCUCAUGAAGUCGGAAUCGCUAGUAAUCGCGGAUCAGCUACGCCGCGGUGAAUAUGUUCCUGAGCCUUGUACACACCGCCCGUCAAGUCAUGGGAGCUGUCAGCGCCCGAAGUCGCCUCAAUACUGAGGUGCCCACGGCGAGGAUGGUGACUGGGACUAAGUCGUAACAAGGUAGCCGUAAAU